GUCGGGGUAAACAGCUCCUGUCUUAAGGUGACAAUUCAAAUCCCCGCUGAACUUUACAGGCCGUCGGGCGGGCCGGGCUGACGAGAGGCUGUUGACCCAGUGGUCUGCCCCGGCCCGCUGACGCGUCAGGGCCUGCUCCGCGGUCGCCCGGGACACUGGGAGCACUAAGACGGCAGAAUGCGGAGGGACCCACAGCCGCCCCAGGUGCUCAAACAAGAGCUCCGGGCCUUGGAGGACCAUACUGCCCCUGAUGGACGUCCCUCCCUGUGUCCUCGUUUCCUGGCCCACAUGAAGGCCUGUCCUGCAGACCUUAGACCCCGAUGUUUCCUAUCCAGCAAGCCCAGGCCACGACCUCCUCAGCAGGGACAGACUGAAGUAAGACAAUCCUUGAGUGCACCGAAGAUGCAUGCAUAUACAGUGUCCAGGAGCAGACCGCAGUACCCCAACACCACCAGGAGGAGGUGCUCCGCUGUUGUUGUUCCCUGUGUUCCAACACCAGUUUCACCCUGUCCCAGCAGAGCCUCCCCUGAGCUCCGUGUCACUGAAUCUAGGCCACCAAGUAUCAAUCCCCA
ensembl:lncRNA